rnacentral:misc_RNA from 1 species
GAGAGGAGAGAAACGAUGAAGUGAGCACAGCAGCAGGUUGCAGGUCGCUCGAAGGGGUGAAAGAACGGCCGCUGUCGAGCUUCGUAUUCCGGCCUGUCGUCUUCGUCCUCGAAAGAGUCUCAGCCUGGCGGAGGAUAAGCAGAAGAAAGAGAGAGAAAGAGGUAAAAGUACGACCUGCUCGGACCCUGCGGAGAAAGGGAGACCAAACAGGUUGGCAAACUGCGAGCGGAUGCUGGCUCGAGCAAAUAAAGGAGCCUCCAUUUAUUAAGCCGGCAAUAAAAUAGCGCUCCUCUGCUCUUCGUUUCGCCGUCUCCUUUCUUCCCUCUUCGAUUCUCCAGUCCCGUCGUCCGUGGGUGGAACAG